CAGCAGCCGCGGUAAUUCCAGCUCCAAUAGCGUAUUGUAAAGUUGUUGCAGUUAAAAAGCUCGUAGUUGGAUUUCGGGCUCGACGACGACGGUCAGCCGCAAGGUAUGUCACUGUCGGCGUUGGCCUUCUUCGCGCAGACUACGCGUGCUCUUAACUGAGUGUGCGUUGGAUACGCGACGUUUACUUUGAAAAAAUUAGAGUGUUCAAAGCAGGCUUGUGCUUGGAUACAUAAGCAUGGAAUAAUGGAAUAGGACUUUGGUUCUAUUUUCCGUUGGUUUCUGGAACCGAAGUAAUGAUUAAUAGGGACAGUUGGGGGCAUUCGUAUUUCGUUGUCAGAGGUGAAAUUCUUGGAUUUACGAAAGACGAACUAAUGCGAAAGCAUUUGCCAAGAAUGUUUUCAUUAAUCAAGAACGAAAGUUAGAGGAUCGAAGACGAUCAGAUACCGUCCUAGUUCUAACCAUAAACGAUGCCGACUAGGGAUCAGCGAGUGUUAUUUGAUGACCUCGUUGGCACCUUAUGGGAAACCAAAGUUUUUGGGUUCCGGGGGAAGUAUGGUUGCAAAGCUGAAACUUAAAGGAAUUGACGGAAGGGCACCACCAGGAGUGGAGCCUGCGGCUUAAUUUGACUCAACACGGG
rnacentral:rRNA from 1 species